AAGGAAUUAUUUUUAUUAGCCAAUUUUAUUAAAAAAUGAAAAUAUAAUAUAUUUAUUUUUUUUACCUUUUGUAUAAGUGUUUAAUAAUAAAAAUAAUGUUUUUUGUUUCAUGAAAUUAAAAGAUAAAAAAAGAUUAUUUGUCUUCGUAGUAUAGAAGACUAAAAAAUAUUUUUAGGAAUGAAAAAUUUUCAAUUUUAAUAAUAACUUGAUUUCUUUAAAAAGUAUUAAGUACUUAUUACAUUUAUACGGUUAUAUGAUCGUAUAAUAAUAGAAAGAUAAUUAAAAUAAAUAAAAUUAUUAAGUAUUUUUAAUUUUUCAUAUGAAAAAUAUUGUUUAUUAAAAUUUUCUAUAUAAUAAAAGAAUGUUUAUAUUAAUUAAAUUUUUAAUAUAUUUAUGUUAAAAUUAGUAAUGUAAUAAAAAUACUUUUAAAGAACUCGGCAAAAUUUGUUCUCAACUGUUUAUCAAAAACAUAGUUCAUUGAAAUAUAUUUUGAAUUUUUUCCUGCCCAGUGUAUAAAAAUAAAUGGCCGCAGUACCUUGACUGUGCUAAGGUAGCAUAAUCAAUUGGCUUUUAAUUGAAGUCUUGGAUGAAAGGAUUUAUGGGAAUAUUCUGUUUCAAAAGUAUUAUUUUUAAUUUAUUUAUUAGGUGAAAAUACCUUCAUAAUUAUAAAAGACGAGAAGACCCUAAGAAUUUUUAGGAAAUUUUUUUUCAUUAUCCUUUUUGUUGGGGCGACAGAUAAACAAAAAAACUUAAUUUUUAGUAUAUAUCGAUUAUUUUAGUAAAAAUUAAAUUACCUUAGGGAUAACAGCAUAAUUUUAAAAAGUUUGUGACCUCGAUGUUGGACUAGGAACUUAAUGGCUAGCAGUCAGUAAAGAGUGUUCUGUUCGAACAGUUAUUUCCUACAUGAUCUGAGUUCAGACCGGCGUGAGCCAGGUCAGUUUCUAUCUUUAAUAAUAAUAUUUUUAGUACGAAAGGACCGAAAUAUUUUU
rnacentral:rRNA from 1 species